UUUAUGUUACAUUAUGUUAUUUUUUGGUGAGGAUUUUGAAACACCCUCAGUGUAUUUUCAGUGCUUUCUGAUUUAAUUUUGUAUAAUCAACUUGAGAAAAUAAAAGAAUAUCACAUAACUCUGUAGUUUUGUUUUGGAGAAAAUUUAAAAAGGAAAACACAGUCAGGGUUGUUGGUGCACACCUGUCAUUCCGGUACUCUGAAGGCAGAUGGAUUGUUGGGAAUUUGAGGUCAUCUUGGACUACAAGGGAAGAUCAAGUCUAGCCUGAACUGCAUAGCAGAACCCUAUCUCAAAACAAAGCAUAAAAGAAAGAAAAAAAAGAAAGAAAGAAUAAGAGAAAAAAUUUUUAAAUAAAAUUUCAAAAAUCGCCUAUGAAUUCAAAAUAUAAAUAUUUGUGAGGUUUCUUGCAAGUGUACUUCAGUCAGCACACCUAGCAUAAGGUUUACCAUCAUGUAAAGAUUGAUCUACUUGCUUUGUUUCAAUGUUUUUGAAUGUUUUACUGAGAUGACUACAGAUACCCUACUGAAUAUACCCUCUAAGGAUUUGGCUACCUCUGUAAGAACAUCAUGAUCAUUGUUUUUGUACUUUCCUAAAUUUAUAUUUAGAACCAGAAUUUGAUGAAGGGAUUUCUAUUUUUUAAAUAGUAAUAAGGACCUUAAAAGGAUACUCCUUUUAAGUCUAUGGAAACAUAAAAAUGAUUGUAGAAUAGUAGUGGUUAAUGUACCUUGCCCUAUGAUUUCUUAAUGAUCAAUAUUAUCAUACAUUUGUAAAAUAUUUAGCUUUUUUACAAAUUUUGACCCAUGAUCUCACUAAUUUCCUGAGUAUUCCAGGCUAAGCUUAAACCCUUCAUCAUUCUUCCUCUCCCUCCCAGACAGCUGGGAAUAUACGUAUACAUACAUUAUCCUGAGUUGGUAAUUGGCAGUAAUUUUGUGUAUUUGUGUAGUAAAAGUUUCAGCCUUGCUCUUUAGACACUUUGCAGAAAGAGUCAAUCUAGUUAAGCUAUCUGCCACCUUACUAACCUGUACUUUCUUUCAGUGAGUAGGACUGAAAAUCACAUUAACAAUGGUUGUGGAUUCUCUGCUUUUCCAACUGUGAUCAGCAUGCGCUUCAGGAGAUCACUUCAAAUGACUUCUGCACUGGGACUGAGGCUUGGUGUCCUUGAAACACAUUCUCUGUUUCUCUGGUCCCUCAUGGAAAUUAAUGAUUGACAUCAAAUUCCAAGGAAGGAAAGUAUUAGUGAUACUUUGACAUGAAUGGCACUGAAACAGCUGGUUGCUCUGGGUAUCCUGAACAUUGUAACAACAUGAAUUCUUCCCAUCCACCAUCACAGUGUGUCUUUUCUUCUGUUAGUGCCAUUUCACUCAUUGCAUCAGUUUCUACAGUUUUUAAAGAAAAGGCCUGUACCCAGUCCUCCUCACUGUUGUUCUCUGCCUCACUGGGCUCACAGUGCUCCAGUUCAGGCAGGAGAAGUAACUUUGGAAGAUCCAUGUUGGUUUGCAGCUGCUGCUUGGAGCCAAGAAGCAGGCCUAAGGUCCUGGGGGUGCAAGGUGUGGGCGGCUGAGUGUGAGCUGGGUGUUCCCACCCUAACUACUCUCCCAAGGCACCCUGCUGAGUUGGAUACCUGGCUGCUGCUCCAGCUGUGGAGAGCCCAGUUCCACCCUAUCUCCACCACUAGUGGAGCAGUGCUGCCCCAGACAGCUCUGGGGGACUGACAGAUGACUCCAUGGGAGAGCCUGUGAACAGUGUUGUGACCCCCUCUCUGUUCUUCAGGAAAGCUGUACACACAUCUGUCUAGUGCUCCCCAGUGGUAUGUUGCCUUCACAAGGGGAUGGAAAAGUGUCUACUAUGGUACUGGGAUUGUGCUUCAUACAUAUGUGAGAAGUGAGGGAACAGAAGGGAUGGGUAGUGUUCCACCUUUCCUCAGCUGUUAGAUUGCACAGAGACUUGCCACCCAGUACUCUGUGCUUCCUCUUGAGUCCCCUUCCACUGAUGUGUUUCCAUAUCUAGGGAAGCCCAGAGGAAAUCUCAUGUACCAUAAAUUUAGUAGUAUAUGAUCUGCCAUCCAGGGUGACUGUGUUGCUCCCACUAGUGUGGAAGGUCAAGAGGGCAGUAGCUACAUCUUUGUUGGUCAUUGGAUCAUGGUCAGUGCCUGGCAAAGUGUCUGUUCACAGUGUAGCUCUAUGUAUAUUCAUGUACUCAUGGCACCUACUGGUUCUGGUGAUGUCAUCUGAAUGGGCCUGGGGCCUCUGCAAGGCCCAAGAGAAUCUGGCUAUGAAUAAUACAUCCUAAACCCCAUAGAGCAUCCUAGGAAUCAGAUUUUGCAUAAUGGCAAGUUCAUGUUCAAAUUUAACAAUUUAAUCAUCAGUGAAAAUCUCUUAAAGUAAAUAAAAAAGCUAGAGAUUUUGUGUUAAUACCUGUGGUUCAUUCCUACAAUGGAAAAGAAAAACGUGUAGUGUAUAAUCAGUCAAAUCACAAGAAUUAUUGCUUUGUCCUCCAGAAACUAAUGUGGGUGUGAAAGAAACAGACACACACCACGAUGUUCAGAUGCAUGAAAAACACCACAGUGGAGGGAAACCCUGGGUAUCCAAACAAUAUGGGAAAGCUUUAACCACACAUAGAAAUAGUAAGGAACAUGAAAGAAUUCACACUGGAGAGACCUCAUGUAUGUAAGCAAUGUGGGAAAGCUUUUACAACCAGUGGACAUUGUAAGCAACAUGAAACAAUUCACACUGGAGAGAAACCUUAUGUAUGUAAGCAAUAAGCAAAAGCUUUUAUCAAAUGUGGACAUCGUAAACAAGAUGAAAGAACACUUGAGAAAAACCCUAUAUAUGUAAGCAAUGUGGGAAAGCUGUUACCUCACCUAGAGAUUUUAAAAGUCAUGAAAGAAUUCACACUUGAGAAAAACUCUAUAUAUGAAAGCAAUGUGGGAAAGCUUUUACCUCACCUGGAGAUUUUAAAAAUCAUGAAUUCACACUGGUGAAAACCGUAUGUAUGUAAGCAUUGUGGGAAAGCUUUUACCAACAUGGACAUUGUAAGCAACAUGAACGAAUUCACACUGGAGAGAAACCCUAUAUAUGUCAGCAAUGUGGGAAAGCUUUUAGCCAAUGUGGACUUUGUAAGCAGCAUGAAAGUUCACACUCGAUAGAAACCCAAUAUAUGUGAGCACAGUGAGAAAGCUUUCAGUACAACUACAUAUUGUGUACUGCAUGAAAAUCUUCACACUGGCCAGAAACCAUAUAUAUGUAAGGAAUACUGGAAAGCUUUCAGCAAAAUGCUCAUUGUCAAAACACAUGAAAAUAUACCCUCUGGGGAGAAACUACAUACAUAAAGAAUGUGGGAAAGCUUUCACCUCACAUGGAUAUUGUAAAACACAUCAACAACUUCACACUGGCGACAAUACCUAUGUAUGUAAACAAUGUGGGAGAGCUUUUACCACAUAUAGUCAUUGGAGAACGCAUGAAAGAAUUCACACUGGUUGCUGGGGGUUUAGCUCAGCGGCAUAAGUGCCUGCCUUGCAAGCAGGCAGUCAUGAGUUUGAUCCCCGGUACCGAUAAAAAGAAAAAAGACCAAAAAAAAAAAAAAAAAAGAAUUCACACUGGGAAGAAACACUGGCUAUGUAAGCAAUGUGGGGAUGAUUUCAGGAGCCAGAGUGAAUGUGAAAAUCAGGAGGAAACCCACACUGGGAAUUCAUUGUAUACAUUAUGGGAAUACUCUCAGCAAACAUGAUAAUAGUUACAUAUCUGAAAGAGCUCACUGGGCAGAAAUCCUAUGUGGACUAGCAAUGUGAGAAAUAUGUCAGUCAACACACUUUGUUAAAUACAUAGAAAAAGCCUCACUGAUCUGAAUUUUUAGAUCUAAGUUUAGUUUUAAAAUCCCAAGGAGUCCUGAAGAAAUAAUUAAUACAAAAGUUUGAUGUCCACAUUUCUUCACAAAUUUUCCAGAAAUGACAAAUCUGAGGUGGAGCUCUCCUCAAGUACAUGUUAUGUGAUUUUUAGUUAAUCACUUGUACUUAUCUAGAUUUUUUAAAGUGCAUUUGUGCUUAAACAUAGUGUCUUUUAAUUAAACAUGGUAAACUGAAAUUACUUUUUCUGUUCAAAUAUGCGUAGUGUCUAUGUACUUAAUGUUUUGUCUUUAAAACUUAAUUUUUGUAUUUUUUGGUAAAUUGUAAUAUUGAUGCUGCAUUUGUUGUAAUCUUUUGCUUCAUUUUCUGUGGCAUAAAUGAUAUUUCUGAAAUUGAUGCUAUAUUUGACAUUAAGAUAUAAAUUUAAAGAGGCUUGGAGCAUACGUUUUUGACAAAGUUGUGUUCUUUUCACAUGACUUGUACAUUAAUGAAUGUUAUGUUUUUCAUGCUGUGACAAGAUACUUGCUUAUAUCCUAACAUCACUGGAUUUAUACCAUGUACAUUAUGUUGCCUGUUUCUCUUUUUCCCUGGAGCAAAUAUUGUCCUUUAUGUAAAUCUUUGUUUUUCUAACCAUUAGAAUAUUACCUGUUAUAUUUAUAUUGCAUCUUUUGUAUUAUUAAGUUUUCUACCACAUUUACCAAAAGUAAACCAUACUGCUGUGAAUUUCUAAUUGCCCCACACUGACAGAACCAUAACUUGUCUCCAAAAGCAUAUAACAAAUUAUAUUAAUGUCUCCAGAAAGUAAAAAAUGUGGUAUGAUUUGUCAGUAACCACACUUUGAAAGGAAUUUUUUAACUGUGGACUUGUUUUGGGGAAAAAGGUUGCUAUUGAAUGUUUCAUGCAAAUGCCUUUAUUUUACUCUUUGGUGUUGUGAACGUAUUAUCUAUUUUGUAAUUAUUACUGAUAUUUCCUAAAGCACUGAAGUAAUGGCAUGAAGGGAAAUCUAAAUUUUGAGCUGUCAGCACAGUGAAAAAUAAAUUUGCUAAAUUAUAA